GCGGGGGUUACCUAGCCUGGUCAAAGGUGUAAGGUUCAGAUCCUUAUCUCUCAGGAGUACGUGGGUUCAAAUCCCACUUCCCGCA
rnacentral:tRNA from 1 species